GAUGAAGAACGUAGCGAAAUGCGAUAAGUAGUGUGAAUUGCAGAAUUCAGUGAAUCAUCGAAUCUUUGAACGCACAUUGCGCCCCUUGGUAUUCCAUGGGGCAUGCCUGUUCGAGCGUCAUUUGUACCCUCAAGCUUUGCUUGGUGUUGGGUGUUUGUCCUCUCCUUUGCGUUUGGACUCGCCUUAAAGCAAUUGGCAGCCAGUGUUUUGGUAUUGAAGCGCAGCACAUUUUGCGAUUCUAGCCGAUAAUACUUGCGUCCAUAAGCCUUUUUUAACUUUUGACCUCGGAUCAGGUAGGGAUACCCGCUGAACUUAAGCAUAUCAAUAAGUGGAGGA
rnacentral:misc_RNA from 1 species